rnacentral:misc_RNA from 1 species
AAGUCGUAACAAGGUUUCCGUAGGUGAACCUGCGGAAGGAUCAUUAACACGUACAGUUGCAAUUUGAGCGGUAGUUCUAUAGGCCUUGUUUCCCCAAGCAAUCCGGUCUGAAAGUGUCACUGAUUGUGCAAGGAUAACGCUUCAACGAUUCCUGUAGACCGAUCACCGGGCAGGAGCUAGGCCAAAGGGUCCCCAUGCCCCCUUACGACACUUGCAGUUUAAUGUGAAGCUCAAUGUAAUACAUUGGGUAAAAAACCGUACAACUGUUAACAAUGGAUAUCUAGGUUCUC